rnacentral:tRNA from 1 species
GGGCUCGUAGCUCAGUUGGUUAGAGCACACGCCUGAUAAGCGUGAGGUCGGCCGUUCAAGUCGGCCCGGGCCCACCA